AGAGUUUGAUCAUGGCUCAGGAUAAACGCUGGCGGCGUGCCUAAAACAUGCAAGUCGAACGCACCCUUCGGGGUGAGUGGCGGACGGCUGAGUAACACGUGGGUGACCUGCCCUCGAGCGGGGGAUAACUGCCCGAAAGGGUGGCUAAUACCGCAGAUGUCAUUCGUUCGGUCGGAUGACUGAACCUCCGGGGUUCGAGGAGGGGCCCGCGGCCGAUUAGCUAGCUGGUGGGGUAACGGCCUACCAGGGCGACGAUCGGUAGCUGGCCUGAGAGGGCGGACGGCCACACUGGGACUGAGACACGGCCCAGACUCCUACGGGAGGCAGCAGUGGGGAAUUGUUCGCAAUGGGCGCAAGCCUGACGACGCAACGCCGCGUGGGGGAUGAGGGUCUUCGGAUUGUAAACCCCUGUCGAGCGGGACGAACGGCCCGCGACUUAACACGUCGUGGGAGUGACGGUACCGCUAAAGGAAGCCACGGCUAACUCUGUGCUAGCCGCCGCGGUAAUAC
rnacentral:rRNA from 1 species